rnacentral:rRNA from 1 species
CUGCUCAGUAACACGUGGACAACCUACCCUCGGGUCCGGCAUAAUCCUGGGAAACUGGGGAUAAUUCCGAAUAGGUCACAGAAGCUGGAAUGCUCUGUGGCCCAAAGCUCCGGCGCCCGAGGAUGGGUCUGCGGCCUAUCAGGGUUGUAGUGGGUGUAAUGUACCUACUAGCCUACGACGGGUACGGGUUGUGAGAGCAAGAGCCCGGAGAUGGAUUCUGAGACACGAAUCCAGGCCCUACGGGGUGCAGCAGGCGCGAAAACUUUACAAUGCGGGAAACCGUGAUAAGGGAAUCUCGAGUGCCAGCAUAUAAUGUUGGCUGUCCAGAUGCCUAAAAAGCAUCUGUUAGCAAGGGCCGGGCAAGACCGGUGCCAGCCGCCGCGGUAACACCGGCGGCCCGAGUGGUAACCGCUAUUAUUGGGUCUAAAGGGUCUGUAGCCGGCCAGGUAAGUCCCUUGGGAAAUCUGGCAGCUCAACUGUCAGGCUGCUAGGGGAUACUGUUUGGCUUGGGACCGGGAGAGGUGAGAGGUACCUUGGGGGUAGGGGUGAAAUCUUGUGAUCCUCGGGGGACCACCAGUGGCGAAGGCGUCUCACCAGAAC